UACGAAGGGUGCAAGCGUUACUCGGAAUUACUGGGCGUAAAGCGUGCGUAGGUGGUUCGUUAAGUCCGAUGUGAAAGCCCUGGGCUCAACCUGGGAAUGGCAUUGGAUACUGGCGGGCUAGAGUACGGUAGAGGGCAGUGGAAUUCCCGGUGUAGCAGUGAAAUGCGUAGAGAUCGGGAGGAACAUCUGUGGCGAAGGCGACUGCCUGGACCAGCACUGACACUGAGGCACGAAAGCGUGGGGAGCAAACAGG
rnacentral:rRNA from 1 species